rnacentral:rRNA from 1 species
GAAACCAGNNNNNNGAUACCCUGCUAUACUUAACUAAAAUUUAAUUACACCGGCGUAGUAGUAGAUAUAUUCUUAAAAUUCAAAGAAAUUGGCGGUGCUUUAAUCUUGUCAGAGGAACCUGUUUUAUAAACGAUACACCACGAAAAAUCUUACUUGUUUUAAAUAGUUUGUAUACCGCCAUUAAUAGAUAAUUCUGAGAAGAAAAAUCAUCUUAAUUAGUUAAACUAAAUAUAUUAGGUCAAGGUGCAGCUUAUAAAUAAGAAAAAAUGGGUUACAAUAGUAUUAUACUGGUCGAAUUUAGAGUUUAAUUUAAACUCUUUUGAAGAAGGAUUUGUUUGUAUACUUAAUUUAAAAUGUUAAUUAAAAAUUAGCACUAAAGCAUGUACAUAUCG